UGGUGGAGCGAUUUGUCUGGUUUAUUCCGAUAACGAACGAGACUCUGGCCUACUAAAUAGUGGGCGGAUUCGGUUUGUCCGCAACACUUCUUAGAGGGACAAGCGGUGUUCAGCCGCACGAGAUUGAGCAAUAACA
rnacentral:rRNA from 1 species